rnacentral:rRNA from 1 species
GACGGAGGAUGCAAGCGUUAUCCGGAAUGAUUGGGCGUAAAGCGUCCGCAGGUGGCAGUUCAAGUCUGCUGUCAAAGACCGGGGCUUAACCUCGGAAAGGCAGUGGAAACUGAACAGCUAGAGUAUGGUAGGGGCAAAGGGAAUUCCUGGUGUAGCGGUGAAAUGCGUAGAGAUCAGGAAGAACAUCGGUGGCGAAGGCGCUUUGCUGGACCAUAACUG